UAUGUUUUCUGUCAAAACUUUGUAUAUCAUUUCAACAGGGGAUUAACAAUGUUUAUUUUAUUAAUUACAAUCAAGAAUUUGGUUAAAAAUUGCUUCGACAAAGAGUUGAAGAGUCAAAGUUGAAGAAUUUCCUCCUUUAUUGUAUACAAUUUGUUGUGUUAAAGAUACAAGAUAAUUAAACUUCGUAGUCAUUUUAGUGUUAUGCUAAAACAUGAAAUUGCGAACGUUUAAAGAGAAAGAUGAAGAAAAAGAUUCCUGGUGGAGUUGAAACUUGCCAAGGUGAAAUGAAGUUUUAUACCGUUUCGAGGGGGGUAAAACAAAGUUCGUCACGGGGCAUAACCUGCAAAAUGUCAAUAAGCGGAUGUAGAUAAAAGUUGCGCAACUUCAUGAAUUAUGUAGACUAGGUCCGGGAUGAGGCUAAGAAUGAAACCAAAAAGAAAAAGAAGAGAAAAAGAUCAAAAAGGUGUUUUAAAUCUUCAUAAAUUAAGUUAAUACGAAACGAAAAUUGUUAAGAUUUAGAAUAAAAAUUGUUUUUUUUUUACUUCACCAUUGAUGUGAUCGAAAUUGGGUCCCAUUUAGGUAACUGAAAGAUAAAUAAUAUACAAGGCACCCUCGUCACAGUUCGAAUAGAAUCCUUUAAAUCAUUCAAAAAGUUCGUCUCGAGGACACAAAUUCGAAUGUAGAUGGACACUCUCACCUUCAAUAACAUUAAGCAUACAUUUUUUGCGAAUAAAUUAUUUGAAAAGGGUGAUCAAAACUGAUCGGGGGGUAAAAACGUUUUAAUAUUUUCGUAGGCAUAUCACAUACGAGCCGAAACGUUUGCAUUAUUCAUUCAGGUCGAGGGGCGAAUUAAAAUUGCCCGGCAAUAAAGUAGUUUACGACCAGAACGAUAUCGUCAUCAAAAUGUUUCGAUGGAAAAAUGCUUAAAACACAUCAAAUUGAAAAUAAAAAAAAGUUUUAUCUAUUAUGUCAUAAUUGUUAUAUGAUCUAAAAUUAAUAAAAUCAAUCGACUCAC